UACGUAGGGGCCUAGCGUUGUCCGGAUUUAUUGGGCGUAAAGAGCUCGUAGGCGGUUCGGUAAGUCAGGUGUGAAAUCUCCACGCUCAACGUGGAGGCGCCACCUGAAACUGCCGUGACUCGAGUCCGGUAGGGGAGUGUGGAAUUCCCGGUGUAGCGGUGAAAUGCGUAGAUAUCGAGAGGAACACCAGUGGCGAAGGCGAGUCCCUGGACAACACCUGACACUGAGGCACGAAAGCUAGGGGAGCAAACAGG
rnacentral:rRNA from 1 species